rfam:Opitutaceae bacterium BACL24 MAG-120322-bin51 contig03373_1_120322-bin51, whole genome shotgun sequence.
UGAGUCCCCAUCGGGUAAGGUUCAGCCAACCGCCCGUACCGAGUGUUGCGUGGCUCUAGGAGGAAUAAGAACAAUGGGCAUUCAGUCGCAAAGAGUAAUCAAAACCGCGCCGCUCAUCGAUCCGAACGACAGUCACGAAGCGUACACAGGGAACCAUGUAGGCCGCAAGGGGAAUCGUACUCCCCUAAAGCAAUUCAGCCUCGUAACUUAUUUUAAUGCAGUCGGUCAGGGCGUCAUAUUGUCUGAAACCAAUACAAAGGAACCGCAUGGUAAGGUUCUGGAGGGGCUGCCGGGGUCUAAGAGCG